AGGAUGAAUGCUGGCGGCGUGGAUGAGUCAUGCAAGUCAAGGGGCCGCAAGGCACCGGCAGACGAGGUAGUAAUAUACAGGUACGCACCGAGAAGUCUGGCACAGCUCGUCGAAAGACGGGGUAAUUCCAGAUAGUCCUUACGAGGUAAAGGAGCAAUCCGCUUUUUGAGCGGCCUGUACAGCAUCAGCUAGUUGGUAAGGUAACGGCUUACCAAGGCUAUGACGCUUAGGGGAGCUGAGAGGCUGACCCCCACCGAUAGCACUGAGACACGGGCUAUACACCUACGGGUGGCUGCAGACGAGAAUAUUCGACAAUGGGCGAAAGCCUGAUCGAGCGACGCCGCGUGGUUGAUGAAGUCCUUGGGACUAAAGACCUUUUAUGAGGGAGGAAGUAAUUGACGUUACCUCAUGAAUAAGGGCUCUAACUCUGCGCCAGCAGCCGC
rnacentral:rRNA from 1 species